UGUCCUGAUUUGUGGCUGUCUCCCCACAGUGGUGAGCAAUGCCAGGUCAGGGACAGACACUUCUCCCAUGUAUGCCCAAUCCAGAGCCCUAGGCAAUCAAAGGUACUUUUGUGUUCUCCAAGGAACCUUAGGAUCUCCAGGGAAGACACUGUGAAGGAGGCAAUCCAGAUAAGUGGACAUGAGUAUCCAGUUAGUAGGAGUCCUACAAUAUUGUGUCUCUAAAUCAGUGUCUCAUGAAUUUGGAAAGUGGCCCUCCAUACUUCAGAGCUAGCACAUACUGGAGUGCUCCUUGGAGGCAAGGGAGUUCCCAAAUUGCAAGGCUAAGGACUCACAUGCUGGACUAAGUUGUCCUCCUAGUGGUCACUUCAUGAGGCCCGCAUGGGCCACCAGCCGGCCUCAUUAAAAAAAUCAUGUCCUA